GACGAACGCUGGCGGCGUGCCUAAUACAUGCAAGUAGAACGCUGAGGUUUGGUGCUUACACUAGACUGAUGAGUUGCGAACGGGUGAGUAACGCGUAGGUAACCUGCCUCAUAGCGGGGGAUAACUAUUGGAAACGAUAGCUAAUACCGCAUAAGAGUAAUUAACACAUGUUAGUUAUUUAAAAGGAGCAAUUGCUUCACUGUGAGAUGGACCUGCGUUGUGUUAGCUAGUUGGUGAGGUAAAGGCUCACCAAGGCGACGAUACAUAGCCGACCUGAGAGGGUGAUCGGCCACACUGGGACUGAGACACGGCCCAGACUCCUACGGGAGGCAGCAGUAGGGAAUCUUCGGCAAUGGACGGAAGUCUGACCGAGCAACGCCGCGUGAGUGAAGAAGGUUUUCGGAUCGUAAAGCUCUGUUGUUAGAGAAGAACGUUGGUAGGAGUGGAAAAUCUACCAAGUGACGGUAACUAACCAGAAAGGGACGGCUAACUACGUGCCAGCAGCCGCGGUAAUACGUAGGUCCCGAGCGUUGUCCGGAUUUAUUGGGCGUAAAGCGAGCGCAGGCGGUUCUUUAAGUCUGAAGUUAAAGGCAGUGGCUUAACCAUUGUACGCUUUGGAAACUGGAGGACUUGAGUGCAGAAGGGGAGAGUGGAAUUCCAUGUGUAGCGGUGAAAUGCGUAGAUAUAUGGAGGAACACCGGUGGCGAAAGCGGCUCUCUGGUCUGUAACUGACGCUGAGGCUCGAAAGCGUGGGGAGCAAACAGG
rnacentral:rRNA from 1 species